GGGAGCCGUCGAAGGUGGGACCAGCGAUUGGGACUAAGUCGUAACAAGGUAGCCGUACCGGAAGGUGCGGCUGGAUCACCUCCUUUCUAAGGAGCA
rnacentral:rRNA from 1 species